rnacentral:rRNA from 1 species
UUGAACAAUAAGAUCUCGGAAACUAAGCAGGGUCAGGUCUGGUUAGUACUUGGAUGGGAGACCGCCUGGGAAUACCAGGUGUUGUAAG